GUCUUAAUUGGGCGUUAAGUUGCAGGGUAUAGACCCGAAACCCGGUGAUCUAGCCAUGGGCAGGUUGAAGGUUGGGUAACACUAACUGGAGGACCGAACCGACUAAUGUUGAAAAAUUAGCGGAUGACCUGUGGCUGGGGGUGAAAGGCCAAUCAAACCGGGAGAUAGCUGGUUCUCCCCGAAAGCUAUUUAGGUAGCGCCUCGUGAAUUCAUCUCCGGGGGUAGAGCACUGUUUCGGCUAGGGGGCCAUCCCGGCUUACCAACCCGAUGCAAACUGCGAAUACCGGAGAAUGUUAUCACGGGAGACACACGGCGGGUGCUAACGUCCGUCGUGAAGAGGGAAACAACCCAGACCGCCAGCUAAGGUCCCAAAGUCAUGGUUAAGUGGGAAACGAUGUGGGAAGGCCCAGACAGCCAGGAUGUUGGCUUAGAAGCAGCCAUCAUUUAAAGAAAGCGUAAUAGCUCACUGGUCGAGUCGGCCUGCGCGGAAGAUGUAACGGGGCUAAACCAUGCACCGAAGCUGCGGCAGCGAACGUAUCACCCAAGACAACUUUACGGAGUUGACGAUUGACGGAGCGAAGCGACGUCAAAGCGUUCAUUAAAGUCGAGUUGGCUUAGGGAUACGUUCGUUGGGUAGGGGAGCGUUCUGUAAGCCUGUGAAGGUGUGUCGUGAGGCAUGCUGGAGGUAUCAGAAGUGCGAAUGCUGACAUAAGUAACGAUAAAGCGGGUGAAAAGCCCGCUCGCCGGAAGACCAAGGGUUCCUGUCCAACGUUAAUCGGGGCAGGGUGAGUCGACCCCUAAGGCGAGGCCGAAAGGCGUAGUCGAUGGGAAACGGGUUAAUAUUCCCGUACUUGGUGUUACUGCGAAGGGGGGACGGAGAAGGCUAUGUUGGCCGGGCGACGGUUGUCCCGGUUUAAGCGUGUAGGUGUGUGUUCCAGGUAAAUCCGGUUCACUU
rnacentral:rRNA from 1 species